rnacentral:lncRNA from 1 species
UGGAUGUUGGAAAGUGAGUCACAUUAUAGUCAAAUGAAUUCAAUCCAAUAUAUAUAAGGUAAUAAAUAUUAAAUACUCACUACAGUUUUGUAAUUAGCUGAAUAGAAAAUUUUGGAUUAACAAGCAUUUAGAUAGUGAGAUAAAAAAUUGUCAAAGUGUACCUGUUUUGAGGGAUCUCGGCACCUUCAAAGCUUGAAACCUUCUCAUGGCCGAUCUAAACGCAUCUCCCAUCCUUCUCUUUCUCCGUUUUCUUCUCCCACUUCUUCACGCUACAGGAUUAGAGAAUGGGGUUCCAGAGGGAUGCAAUAGGCCCCAGAUGGCUUCAAUGUUCUGUCAAGAAUUAUGAUGUGGAGGCAUGGCAGCUAUCAUGACUUUGAAGGAUGUUAGUGGAUAUCCGUCUCAGAUCAAACCUAUCUCAGAUCAGAAUGAAAUCUAAAGGGAUAAAGAAAAAAAGUUAGAGUACCAAACCUGCAGUGAGUGAGCAAUUAAAAAACUUUCCGUCGAGAGUUUCUGGUAAGAGGGAAAACGAGAACUUAUUUGGGGCACUGUCUCCGUCGAGAGUUUGGGGAUUUCCGUCGAGAGUGAAAGGAGGGUUUGGGGAGUUUUUUGUGGUGAAAGGAGGGUUGAGGGUUUGGGGAUUUCCUUCGAGAGUGAGAAUGAGAUUUAAUUACAAGGAGAGUUGAAACUUGAAAGAAGGGUUUGGGUGUUAUUAAAAGGUUUUAUUAAUUUUAGGGAUUGGGUUUUAGGGAUAAACUUAUUGAUUUGGGUAUUUUUAUUCUAAU